AAUAUGACAAUUGGAUAUGAUGGAGAGUAUUGUUAGAGGAAGACUGGGAGAUAUACACUGAGUGCACAAAACAUUAGGAACACCUUCCAAAUAUUGAGUUGCACCCCCUUUGCCAUCAGAACAGCCUCAAUUUGUUGAGGCGUGGACUCUACAAGAUGUUGAAAGUGUUCCACAGGGAUGCUGGCCCAUGUUGACUCCAAUGCUUCCCACAGUUGUCAAGUUGGCUGGAUGUCCUUUGGGUGGUGGACCAUUCUUGAUACACACGGGAAACUGUUCAGCUUGAAUGACCCAGCAGUGUUGCAGUUUUUGACACACUCAACCCAGUGCGUUUGGCACCUACCAUACCCCGUUCAAAGGCACUUAAAUCUUUUGACUUGCCCAUUCACCCCCUGAUUGGGACACAUACACAUCCAUGUCUCAAUUGUCUCAAGGCUUAAAAAUCCUUUGUUAACUGGUCUCCUGCCCUUCACCUACAAUGCAAUAAUACCUUUUUUUUUAAGAUAUCCUGCAGACUUACCGUUAUUGUACAGGUUUAUACUCGUGACUAAUUUGAAGUAUUGUCAGUGUAUUUGGUUAAAAAAAAAUUAAAAAAAAUGGGGCCAAAACACAGCAUUACGCAACUUAAUAUCCAUUACGGCUCGAAAUCGAAGAAUAGAGGGAGGAAUAAGGAGAAAGGAAUGAGGUGGGAGAGGGAAGAAAAACAGCUGUGGGAGUGAGGUUGCGAAAAAGAAAGUGAUGAAGUAUAGCCUACGUUUUGAUGACAACUAUGCCGAUGCCGACCAUCCCUCCCUCCUCCCUCGACGCCCACCCACCAGCUUUCCCGCCCUUUUCCUUUACCACACCACCCGCCCCCCCCUGUUCCCCGUAUCCCUCCCCACCAUGCUCUCCAGGGCCUGGGGUGAAGGGGAUUGGAGGGUCCGGAGGGGUGACCCUGCGUUCUCCAGCCACUCGUCACCUCACCCACCUGGACCCCUGGAGGAGGCAUAGCUGGGAGCCCGGGGCUGUGGUGACAGUGCAGCAGCAGGGGAUGGAGCCCAGCGACAACCACAGUGUGAGUCUGGAGAACCUGGAUCCGGAGGAGAUGGAGAAGGUUCUGGGAGCGGCGCUGGGCGUCCGGCGAGUGGGGAGGAACCCCAUCACUCAGGAGGGCUCCUUGUCUUCCCUCACGGAGGAGGAGGCAGGGUCCGACCUGCAGCACUACUCCGUAUUGGAGGUGAGCCUGUGAAUCAGCGAGCCCGGGUUGUGGGAUUGG
rnacentral:lncRNA from 1 species